GAACGAAGCGCUCCUCAUUUGCACAACCACCCGUAGCUAAAUGUGUAUGAUUCGCCCAUGCAUGUUUUGAUUGUAAGCAUGUCGGUGGAACCGGGUUUGUAGGUAGCGAUUCCAUUGUCGCGCACGGUAGGAUAUUCUCGCCACGACACUGCAGAGGGCGCUUGUGGGCCUUUCUGCACGGACGACUUCCCGCGAAGAAAAGGACUUAUGCAAGUCGGGGCAGAGGCGGCAGAUGAUAACCUCUCUUUCAGCAGAAGAUGACCUCCUAUUCAGCAGACGAUAACCUCUCUUCCAGCGAAUAACCUUUAUCCCAGCAAGCAGUGAUAUCUUUCCCAGAAGUCUUGCAACAGACGACGAUGUUUAUUGGACCAAACGAUGUAAUAGGUUCCAUUAGAGGACGGACCGAGUCUUGCAGAAGAUGAUGAUAUAGAACAGGAUCAAGAUGAGGAUCGGGAAAGAGAUUUAAUGAAAUCACGUCGAUCUAGGUUCAAUCACUCUGGCCAGUAUCCAAACCCGAUUAUUUUAACAAAAAAAAUAAUCUGGGUUUGGGAUACACUAAAUUUGAACCUUUGCCAAGACUUUAAAAGUGCCAAUUGACCUCAGGUCACCAGCACCUGUAAAUAAAGCACAUCUGCAAUAACUAGCAGACGAUAUAACUUGACCUCCACUUACGAACCAGACGACAUAUAGUUUACCAUUUAACGCCUAGAUCGACGGAUAUUAUUUUCUUUAUGCCAUACUCAUACCAAGAAGACAUUUGUUUGAUCUCUUAAGCCUCAUUGUGGAUUGGUCACACACUGGACAGUUUGGUGAGCUGGCUGGUCGCCGUCACAACAUGACCUACAUUUGACACGACGAUCCUGCAAGCACGGCAAAGUCGCAUAACUGAACCUGAUUAAGAUUAUUACGACUACGGUUGCCAGCGCGUGUAAUGGCGAAUAGUACACAGCUAUAGAUAUCAAAGGACUAAGCAGGUUAUUCACACGUACGCAUACAGACAUAGUAUAGUGCACACACGAAUUGUUGCCUUGCAAUACAGUCUUUUCAUGAAACGCGUAUAGAUCACCAUUAUAGUUAACGGCGGCUAUAACGGGGUAGAAUACAACAUGGGGCAUACACGUGAUAUAAUAACGCAUAUCGCUGAGGUCAGAGCUCGAUCACGUUUAAUCUGUUCUCAAUAGAUUCGUUUACGUCUGUCCUUAAUAGAUUCUAUUAAAUAUAUAUUUUAAAACUCUAUAGGGCGUUGGUAAUGUUGAUGUGUAUGUUUAAGGUCACUGUUUAACGACUUUGUUUGUGAUGACAUAAUGGACACAAUUAUUUGUAAAUAAAUUCACAACAAAUUAUGUCUUAUUUAUACACAAUUUAUGCCGUUUCUUAUACAUUCAUUACGAGUUUUCAACGAAUUAAGUACUGAUGAUAUCUUCUUAGUAACUGUUUUGCCACCUACGAGAAAUAUUGGUUUAAUGGUGCAAAGCUAACUAUCAACGUUAGAUGCUGAAGAUGUCUUCUUGGGAACGAUGGUCAUCUACAAGGAAUACUGGAUGUCCUGAGUUUGCUGUCAUUGUAAGGUG